UCCCAAUUCUUAACUGGAAGGGACACCAAAGGACUCUGCCCUCCCUCUCUAUUUAUCCAAGAGAUGGAAGGGCAGAGCUUUUUUGGGUUUUCAUCUUUUCUUUUCAUCAAAGAGUUGAACAAUGAAGAUAGAUGGCAAGUGCCUGAUCGAUUUGAUCAAGUCGUGUAGGAACAAGGUGAAAGGGAAAUAGCCUCAACAUUUCCUAUAAUCGAUUUUGGUGUUUGAUGACCAUCACAAACCUUGUGGACUAACCAGUUUGCCUAGUUGUUCAUUUCUCAGGUGCAUAAGUUCAUCUACAACUAUUCUAAGUUGACUGUCCAGAAUACCGUAGAUUAUUCUGGACAGGAGAAGAUUUUUGGAAAACACCUAUGUGCGGACCGUUCGGGCCCUUGCGACGGACCGUCCGCGGCACCAGGGUGAGCCUUGGACAGGAACACUGCAAAAACGCAAGUCAACACUACGGACCAUCCGAUGGAGAAGCAAACACCUUCCGAGACCAAGCGCGGACCGUUCGGUCGUUGUAAAACCAGAAAAACCCGAAGGUGACAGGUUCAGUAAAAUUCAUUUUUAGCUUCCUCGCGGACCGUCCGGGGUGCACGGCCGGACCGUCUGCGACUGCUUUAUCUGACAUCUGACGAUGCAUUAAAUGCUCUAUAGCUGUUGAUAUAGCCGUUACUGCUGGCCGUUGUGAUUUCACCAUUGAUAUGCAGGGGCGGACCGUCCGCGGUCGGCAGAAAUGAAGCAACGACUAGGAAGUGGUUGGAGGCUAUAAAUACAACCCCAACCACCUCCAUUCACUUUACCCAAUGCAAGCACUCCACUCAUACACAUUCAAUACAAGAGCUAGCAAUCCAUUCCAAGACACAAUCAAGCAUCCAAUCUCUCAAAGUUCCACAAUUGAGACAAGUGAUCAUUAGUGAUUAGUGACUUGAGAGAGAUUGAUUCAUGUUUCAUUUGUUGCUCUUGUUGCUUGGUUUCCUUAAUCAUGCUUUCUUCAUCUCUCUAAACUCUCUAAGUGUUUUGUAAAGCUUGCAAGAGACACCUAAUUGUGUGGUGUCCUUACGGGGUCUUAGUGACCCGUGAGAUUAAGAAGAAGCACUCAACUGGUCUAAGUAACCGUUUGAGAGAGGGAAAGGGUUGAAAUAGACUCGGCCUUUGUGGCCUCCUCAAUGGGGACUAGGUUCUUUGGAACCGAACCUCGGUAAAACAAAUCAUCGUGUUCACUCGUGUUGAUUUCCAUUUGAUUUGUUUUCCCUCUUUCCUCUCUCUAAAGUUUCCUUGCCAAUAUUGAUUUGAGUUUGCUCCCAAACGUCAUCCGCAUUAUUUGAGCAACUCGUAGCAAGAGAAACAAUCUUCCACACUCGGAUUUAAUUCUAACACUAACCCUAGCCUUAGUUCAAGUUUAAGUUUAUAAAUUUCAGGUUUCGCCUAUUCACCCCCCUCUAGGCGAAUUUCACAAGGUUCAAAUAGUUUGUUCGUUAGGAUGCCUCAGCUACAUACAUCACUGCACUUUCACUUGACACCUAUUUAAACGACUCGUCUCACCGCUACCUUAUCCUAUUUCCAUACUUCUGUCGCUCCAUCCCCGUAUGGGUGGAGAACCCGUUGCUGUCUCGGUUGUGCUACCGGAGGCUCUAGGGAAGUCAGAGGAGAGAGCACUAAUCUUGGGGUGGGCUUACUACUUAUAUGCUUUCAACAGUUAUCCUAUCAACACUUGGCUACCCAGUGUUUACCGUAGACACGAUAACUGGUACACCAGAGGUGCGUCCUUCCUGGUCCUCUCGUACUAGGGAAAGGUCCUCUCAAUGCUCUAACGCCCACACCAGAUAUGGACCGAACUGU
rnacentral:lncRNA from 1 species